UAAUACUUUCUGGGACAUUGUAAGUUAAUGUGUAUGACACACACACCACCUCCUUUCCCCCAAAAUAAGAAUAAAACAAAGCCAAGCAACAAACACCCACUUGGUCCUUGUUUCCUCCUUCCCUGCCUUUUAAAGACCAUAAAAACUAAAGAAAAUUCCCAUUCCACAGGCAAGCUAAGUUCAGAUCCACACUGCUAAGCUGUGGGAACAUCUUGGGCAACUGAGGUAAGCCAAGGGCAUCACACCAGGGCGAUGUAGGGGCUGGCGAGGCUGGGAGGGGUGGGAGCUGAUGGGAAAGAAAAGCCACCAAAGGGAAGCUAAAGAGGUGAUUGUCAGCUUUAAAAACAGUGCUGAAGGAGAGGCCUGCAGAGAACAGCUCCCGGGAAUGCAGCCGGGAGUGUCAGCAGAGACUGGUGGCUUCCCAGCAGCCCAAAGCCCCUGGCAGGAAGACUAAUGGGGCAUGUGGCUCAGGUGUGCACGGCAAGCAUGUGGUAGCAGAAAGCUAUGCUGGUAGCAUGUCAGAGGACGCAAUCUGCUGCUCUGCACUCAUGAAGUAAGAGGGUGCACUGGAGUUCCAGAAGCCCCAUGGCAAGAGGGACUUUAGUACCAGCCACCAAAGUAGUGACUAAAACUGUCCUGGGUUCACUGCCCUUCUGGUUAUAACUGCUGUGCCAACGCCAACGGUGCUUGCAAUGCACAGAGGCCCUUCUGACUUGUAUUGCACAUCAAGAGACAGUCAAUUUCAUAAAAAUUUCCAUAUGGGAACUGGGGAGAUGGCUCUCAGGGUAAGACUGUCUGUUGCACAAACUUGGCAGCCUGUGCUCAGACCCUCAGCACCCAUGUAGAGCCAGGCAUGACCCUGAAUACCUGUAGCCCCAGCUCUGGCUGGUAGAAACAGGGGAUUCACUAGGGCUUGGUGGCCAUGCAGUCUAGCCAAAAAAUGGCAAGCUCCAGGUUUAAUGGGAGGCCCCUGUCUCAACAGGAUAAGGCCAAGGGUGAGAGUGGGACACCAGAUAUCCUCCUUUAAUCUUCACAUAGGGAACAGGGGCAUGUGCACUCCCACAGACAUGUGCACACAUCCACACCCAGCACACAUGUGCACACAUCCACACCCAGCACACAUGUGCACACAUCCACACCCAGCACACAUGUGCACA
rnacentral:lncRNA from 1 species